GAUCCUGGCUCAGGAUGAACGCUAGCUACAGGCUUAACACAUGCAAGUCGAGGGGCAGCAUGGUCUUAGCUUGCUAAGGCCGAUGGCGACCGGCGCACGGGUGAGUAACACGUAUCCAACCUGCCGUCUACUCUUGGACAGCCCUCUGAAAGGAAGAUUAAUACAAGAUGGCAUCAUGAGUCCGCAUGUUCACAUGAUUAAAGUAUUCGGUAGACGAGUGGGAGUG
rnacentral:rRNA from 1 species